GAAGCUCUUCGGAGAUACUCGAGUGGCGAACGGGUGAGUAACACGUGGGUGAUCUGCCCUGCACUUCGGGAUAAGCCUGGGAAACUGGGUCUAAUACCGGAUAGGACCACGGGAUGCAUGUCUUGUGGUGGAAAGCGCUUUAGCGGUGUGGGAUGAGCCCGCGGCCUAUCAGCUUGUUGGUGGGGUGACGGCCUACCAAGGCGACGACGGGUAGCCGGCCUGAGAGGGUGUCCGGCCACACUGGGACUGAGAUACGGCCCAGACUCCUACGGGAGGCAGCAGUGGGGAAUAUUGCACAAUGGGCGCAAGCCUGAUGCAGCGACGCCGCGUGGGGGAUGACGGCCUUCGGGUUGUAAACCUCUUUCACCAUCGACGAAGGUCCGGGUUCUCUCGGAUUGACGGUAGGUGGAGAAGAAGCACCGGCCAACUACGUGCCAGCAGCCGCGGUAAUACGUAGGGUGCGAGCGUUGUCCGGAAUUACUGGGCGUAAAGAGCUCGUAGGUGGUUUGUCGCGUUGUUCGUGAAAUCUCACGGCUUAACUGUGAGCGUGCGGGCGAUACGGGCAGACUAGAGUACUGCAGGGGAGACUGGAAUUCCUGGUGUAGCGGUGGAAUGCGCAGAUAUCAGGAGGAACACCGGUGGCGAAGGCGGGUCUCUGGGCAGUAACUGACGCUGAGGAGCGAAAGCGUGGGGAGCGAACAGGAUUAGAUACCCUGGUAGUCCACGCCGUAAACGGUGGGUACUAGGUGUGGGUUUCCUUCCUUGGGAUCCGUGCCGUAGCUAACGCAUUAAGUACCCCGCCUGGGGAGUAC
rnacentral:rRNA from 1 species